AUGGCCAUGAGGGUCCCCGCUGAGCUCCUGGGGCUCCUGCUGCUCUGGCUCCCAGGACACAGCAUGGCCAUGAAGGUCCCCGCUCAGCUCCUGGGGCUCCUGCUGCUCUGGCUGCCAGGUGGCAGAGGUGACAUCCAGUUGACCCAGGCUCCAUCGGUGUCUGCAUCUUUAGGAGAGAGAGUAACCAUCUCUUGUCGAGCCAGCCAGGGCAUUAGCAGUAGCUUACACUGGUAUCAGCACAAACCAGGGCAAGCUCCUAAACUCCUGAUCCGUUAUGCCACCACUGUGCAGUCUGGGGUCCCCUCGAGGUUCAGCGGCAGUGGGUCUGGGACGGAGUUCACUCUCACCAUCAGCAGCCUGGAGUCUGAAGAUGUCGCCACUUAUUUCUGUCAGCAGAGCUACAGUUGGCCUCCCACAGCGUUACAAGCCAUGACAUAA